AUUGGCUGACUCAAAUUGCAGUCACUCCUUUCCCCUUUCCUUCCAAACGGCAGUGGUAUACCACAAGGUUUCUCUGAGUCUAGAAGAAGCUUAUACAAAGAAAAUCCAUUAGACACACAGUCAGAUUCAGCAACUCUUUUCUGGAGAAGAAGAGGAAGAUGGUACUCAUAAUACCUGUGUUGAUCUUAUGGAUGCAACACAUAAGAUCCCAAGUGGACGGACAGCAGAUAAACCAAAUUCCUAAAUUCUCGCUCCUACAAGAAGGAGAGAACUUCACCACAUACUGCAAUUCCUCAAGCACUUUAUACAGCUUUCAGUGGUAUAAGCAGAGGCCUGGGGGGAGUCCCGUCUUCUUGAUGUUGUUGACUAAGCCAGGAGAAGUGAAGAAGCCGAACAGAUUGACAGCUCGGUUUGGAGACACUGGAAAGGACAGCUCCCUGCACAUCACGGCCGCCCAGUCUGCAGAUGCAGGAACCUACUUCUGCGCGGAGGCACAGUGCUCUGGGAGCAUCUGCUGCCUGUCCCCAAACCUCACUGUGGGCCCCAGGUGCAGCUCCUCCUCAUCUCUCCUCAGAGCAGGAGCCAGAGGAAGCUGAAGUCACAAUGUCUAUGAAGAAACUGAACUUUUAAAUUAAAAAAUCCACAGGCUCAGGUAGCGUUAUUAGAGGAUUUUACCAAACAUUUGAACAAAACUUAGCAUAAAUUCUACACAAUUUCUUCUAGAAAAUAGAAAGAAAACAAUUCCUCAUUCAUUUUAUGAAGCUAGUAUUACCCUGAUAGCAAAUCACACAAAGACAAUGCCAAAGAAAACUCCAGAGAAAUAUUCCUCAUUAAUAUAGACACAAAGUUGGUUAACAAGUUUGAUAAAUAUUAACAAGUAGAACUCAUCAGCAUAUAAGAGAAUAAUUCAUUAAGCACAAAUGGAUUUUUUUUCAGGGAUGCAAGACUUUCUUCAAUGUUUGAUAAUCAAUUGAUGGAAUUCAUCGAAGUAACAGAGUAAAAAAUAAAAAAGAGAGAAUCACAAGAUCAUAUUACUCUAUGCAGAAGUAACACUUGCCAAAAUUCAAUGGUCAACCCUCGAGAAAACUCUGAAAAAGGAAUAGUGGGGAAUUUCUUCAGCAGCUAAUAGUAUGUUUACUGGUAAAACACUAUAUACUUUUCCCUAAGAUUGGGGACAAAACAAGAGUAUCCACUCUCAUCACUCUCCUUCAGCAUUGUGCUAGAUGUUUUUGCUGGGGCACUAAAGCAAAUAAACGUAAACACAUCUUAUAGGCCAGGAAAGAAAUCUAACUGCCACUAUUUCUAGAUGACGUGAUUAUCUAUGAUGACAAUCCCAAAGAAUACACCCCAAAAACUCCUAGAAAUAUUAAGUGGGUUCUAUAUGGUCACAGGAUAUAAGAUAAACAUGCAAAAUCAAAUGUAUUUCUACAUACCAGUAAUAAACAUGCAGAUCCUGGAGUUUCCAUCCUGGCUCAGUGGAAAGGAAUCUGACUAGCAUCCAUAAGGACACAGUUCAAUCCCUGGCCUUGC